UGUCCAUAUCAUGAUGAAACACUGAUUCCCGUACGAUCACCGAAGUUAAACAACAUCGUGCCUAGAUGGGUGAUCGCUUGGGAAUAGCAGGUGCUGUGA